ensembl:lncRNA
AUGAUUUGUGUAAGAGCAGCAGGACAGGCUAUGUACAAAGGUAAGACAAUUCAUCUAACAAAGAGGCCGUGGAGAGAGUUAUCAAGGAAGACAGCCUUCAAUAAUUACUUUACCAUCACUCUUUUCCAGAAAGGGGUGGAAUUAUCAGGAUGGAAUCAAGGAUGCUUCCAAACAGAGGGAAUAUCUCAAGCUAUGACUCAGAGAGUUUUCCCCACAUCGUUAAUGGUAUGGGAAUUAGGAGCAGGUCAUGUGACUCACAUGGCUCACCAUAUAAUUCCUUCUGGAGAGCAGGGUGAAAAAUCAGUUAAGGAGAAGGAGACAGAGAAGAAAGACAAGGAUUGACGGGGAGGAUGAGGAAGAGGAGAAGGAGGAGAAGAAAUAGAAGGUGGAGGAGGAGAGCAACCCUACAAAUAAAAAAACUACAUCUUUCUAUUUUGUUCUAUGUUGGAAUUAUUGUGGACAUAAGAAACAAAGAAUUGAGGAGAAAAGCCUGAGUUGUUAAGGGGGAAAACAAAUAACUUUGCAAUGAAAUAAAUUCAGGUUUGAAUUUUCUUAGCCAUUGGAAUUUAGCCAAGGUGGUUAACUUAUCUGUGCUAAGCUUUCUAAUUUGAAAAGAUGAAAAUAAUAUUUGGCAUAUUUUGGUUGAUAAAUUCCUAAUAAAGUGUUUGGUAUCUACUAAGCGCUUGAAAGGAAUCUCUAUAAUCAAUAAUACCAUUAUCUAUGGCACAUAGAGAUCAUACAGUCACGCCUUAGGCAUGAACAGAUAUUCCUGUAUGAUGAAACUUGCAGGAAUGAUGCUCCCAAAGAGAAAAGUGGAGUUCAUACUCUUGAUGAGCUCUUUACUCCUUACCAUCCAUUAAAACUCAGGAUCAGGCAAAACCUCACAAGAACAUGCAGUUUCUUGAAUUUAUAAAACCUAAACUUUUGAUAUCUGGGGAAACUAUUUACCACCUGAUUCAGGAGUUCCCAGAAGCAACAUUAAGCAGAGGAUCACAACUGCCUGGAUACUUUUUGCUCUUGGACAAGUAAUCAUAACUUGAAAAGAUUAGUGGGUCUUGGCACUACAUAUUUAAUCUUGGCUCUUUUUGACUAUCACAUCACUUUUAGACACUAAUUAGUAAAAAUUAGCUCUUACUAUGGGUAUCUUUUUAUUUUGGAAUGGAUAUCUGUCUUUCCACUAGCUUUUUUAUUUUUCUUGAAUACUAUUGACCCUGCCCUCAGAAACAAAUGAAAUCUUUAAACUAGAAGUGAACCUUAAGCUAAUCAAUAUUAGAAGUUCUCAAGUUUUUAAAAAAAUAAAUCAAUAUCUCCAAUAAAAGUCUCAAGCAGAUGACUAAUACAUAAAAUAGAUGAAGGUAAACUUGCUUUGUUUGAAGCAGGAUGAGUUUGGUGUUCUAUUCACAUAUCCUUUCUUCACUGCUCAAAAGUUAUUUUCAUUGGUCUUAUAAGCUGCCAUUGCAUGGAACACAGCUGUACAGAGAAUUGUGGCCCUGAGUUUUGGAUUACGUGAAGGUUGUCAGGCGGAGGUCAUUAAGGGGAAGGUUGGAAAUGAGAAUGUUACAUAAACUUCAUGCUGUUUGCAAGCAGUUGCAGUUUGUCUGUCCAGUCCACUGCCACUGGACCAUAUGUAAGGUGGAUAUGUUGUCUAGCCGACCACCAGUGGAUUGUAGGAAAGCAGAUAUCAUGUCUAUCCCACCACCACUGGACCAAGUCUGUACAUCAGGUGGUUCUCCUGUCCAGCCCGCCACCACUGGACUCUCCCCUGUAUGUGAGCCCCUAAUAAAAUGCCAUGUCUCCAAAUAAAUUUCAUUUUUAUUUUUUAAUAAAAUCAUGAAUGUUUUCUCUAAAGAAUUAUUUACACCUCAGUUCAUGCAUCUCCAUGGAGGUUAUCAGGCAUGUUUCCUCUUCUGUCUCAUCAUCAUGAC